CCAUAGUUUCAAUUGCAGUGGCACUCAAGCCAGAGAACAAAUUAACAACGGAGAAGAAGUUUAACGGAAAAGAUGAUCUGAAGUUCAAGGAGUGGUUUGGAUAGCAGGUCAUUGUUUCAAAAGAACUUGGAGCAAAAAGACAAGUAAAUUUGUUGAUUAAUUGUGCGAAGCAACUCAUUGGAGAAAACUAUUCUAAUUUUAUACUCAUGAAAUAUUUUGAAAGGUAAGUUAAAUUUUUGAAGAAUUUAC